GUGUUAGGACAAAUCUGUUCAGUUAGGCUACUGGUUUUAUUUCCCGACUUGUCUGGCCCAGGUUAUAACCAAAGCAAGACUGUAUGGUGCUAAAU
rnacentral:pre_miRNA from 1 species